rnacentral:rRNA from 1 species
UACGUAGGGUGCAAGCGUUGUCCGGAAUUAUUGGGCGUAAAGAGCUCGUAGGCGGUCUGUCGCGUCCGUUGUGAAAACUCGAGGCUCAACCUCGGGCCUGCAGUGGGUACGGGCAGACUGGAGUGCGGUAGGGGAGAAUGGAAUUCCUGGUGUAGCGGUGGAAUGCGCAGAUAUCAGGAGGAACACCGAUGGCGAAGGCAGUUCUCUGGGCCGUAACUGACGCUGAGGAGCGAAAGCGUGGGGAGCGAACAGG